rnacentral:lncRNA from 1 species
GAAGGGAAAGAACUGAACAACUAACUGGAUGUCAGGCAUUCAAAAGAAGGAAUAGCCAAAGAUAACCCCAGUGUUUUAAUCUGGUUUAGGGGAAAGCUCACUAGAGUACAUCGGGAGAUCGACUGGGCUUGGACCAGAGGGAGUGUUUUCAGCAUUCAAGAUCUUCUGACGUCGUGGCAAGUGAUAAGUCCGAGGGCUGCCGUAGAG